UGGCUCAUGGGAGGAAGGUGGUGUGUAGAGCGGCUUCUGUGCUCGUCCACGGAUCGAAGCAGCAGCUGAGAAAGAGGAUGGCAAUAAGAACACUCUGGACAACUGAGAAUAACAAGCAACGUUGAAAAGGAAAUCAAAACGUUGAUCCAGAAAUCAAAAUAUAUUCAAUUUCCUUCAGAAAACCACCCAAUUUUCCUUCUCCAGCAGCUGAUAGACAAAAGAGAGAAAUCUAACAUGAGAUUUUGAGCGGGAAAAAGGAGAGUAUACGAAAGCAACUCAAGGAUACAUUGCAUGAAAGAUCAAGGAAUAUUAUUUUUCAUUCAGAAAAAGACUGAAAUAUCUGGAAGUUAGGGGGGAGGAAAAGGUCUUAUUGGGCACAGUGCAUAGGGCAAACAAUGUUGCAGGCCUUGCUCUGGGAAGAAACGAACAGCUUGAAUCAAAGCACUACUGAAUAAGGGAUCAUCCAUACUUUUGACCUCAAGAAUAUCAGUUGUAGAAAAGCUCCAUAGAUCUGCUUAUUGUAGGAAAAGCACAGAUUGCAAAUCAUAGCUGAUUAAGCAAGAUCUAAACUGGAGAAAAGCCAUAUAAAUUAUCUGAAUAUGACAAAAGAUUUAGUCAGAACAGCUCCCUUGUGGUUCAUGGAACAACCCACAUAGGGGAGAAGCCAUACGAGUGCUUCCGAUGUGGUGAAUAUUUUAGUGAGCAUGGCAACAUGGUGAUACAUCACAGGACACCUAUCACAUAAGAGUGUCCAGAUGGUGUGAAAGUUUCAUUGGAAAUUACCACCUCACAAGACAACACAAGAGAGAAACCCUUUGAAUGCCCUAUCUGUGGGAAAGGUUUUGGUCUGAAUUGCCACUCAUGAGAUACCAGAGGACUCACACGGG